AUACGUCCGUCGCAUAAACUGGAGGUUGUGUUACCGCACAUGGCACAAAUAUUCACUGUCAAUACAUUCGGUUCCAGUUCCAGGUCCAUCGGUGGCGCGGACAACAUCUGCAAGAUAUUACGAGGGGUGAGACCACAAGAGAUCAAGCCCGAUGGGAUGGUGCUCACGUCAACAGGCCUACUAUAGACGGAUAUACUGUAUGAACACAUGCUCCCGUGCAGCCUCGACCAUCAAGCUAUAGCCACUUCAGUUUGAUGGUUUAAAUAAUGAUUCAUUGUCAUUUUUUUUGAAGUUGAUAAGUAAAUGAGUAUAAUGUCAUGUCA